GCGAAAGAGGGAGGUCUCCCGAAAGGUAAGGGCGAUGAAGGAGGCCACUGCUACUGCUGCUCAAACUCCUCAGCGAGAAUUGGUAGAAAUAUCGAGCUCCCCUCCUCGACCUCAAGAGCAGCCGGUCUCUGAAGUAGAGGUUGCCGUUUCUCCACCUCGGCAGAUUGAAUGUUCGCCUCUGCCGCCUCCUCUGAUCUCUUCCAAUGUGGAAGGGGAGUCUUCUGGUCCCAGUGUUAGGACGCUUUCCCAGGGAGCUCAACUUCUCAUCCAAUGACUAGAGAGGAACCGUUCUACCCGAGGGAACCCUGGCCUAGCCAAGGUCAUGGGCGCCUCCAUCUGCUUUCAAGAAGAUCGAAACAGAUUGGCAGAGGAGAGCAUGAACAAUAUUUUAACUCAGACAAUGAGUUUGGGCUUGGAGGCUAUUGAAAAUCAACAUGUGAUCAGAGAAAAAGCCCAUGCCUUAAGGAAGGAGAUUUUUAAGGCGGUCCAGGAUGCCUCAGCUGCAAAGGCUCAGCUCUCCACUGCCAAUGAUUACAUCGUCAAACUGGAAGAUCGGGUGAAGUAUUGCGAAGAGAGGAUAGCUGAAGUGGAGCGAGAACUUGAAGUCUCCCGGGCUAGUCGAUCUGUCGAUCUCGCUCAUUUUUCUGAGAAACUUCGGGUGAAGGAGGAGGAGCUCCAAGCAAAGAAGGAGGAGAGCACUACAAAAGAUGCUGGGGCAUAUGUGAACUCCCAUAACAACCUCCUGUCCGAACUAAAUAAGCGUUAUCCUGAGGAGGACUUCUCCUGGAUGGAUAAGCUUAUCCCAGAGGCCGAAGAGGACAGUGAUGAGGAGCACGAGGGUGAGAAGAGAGGGAGGAAUGUAAUUGGGGCGCAGGACGGAGAAGAAUCCCCUUGCUAAUUGACUUGUAUAUAUUUUUUGUUUUUGAAGUGAAUUGAAGUCUUUUAUGUUCCAUUUCUUGAUGAGAUCGGAAAGCAUUCAAACCAAAUUGUCUGAGUACUUAAUUGAUUGAAUGCAGUUGAAUAUUAAACCUGAGAGCAACUAUUAAUCAAAAGAUAAGAGAUCGGAAAAACAUUAUACGCGAACAUGAGAUCGGAUUGAGUCAUGACCAAAUACUGGAUGGAACCUUAGAAUAUUAAAAUUGCAAAGAUUUGACACCGGCUUGAACUUUUAAGGUCGAAACAAUUAUUAGACCGGAUAAAAACCUUAACUUCAUUUUGAGGAAUAUCUGGGGCAUUCAAGCGAGAAGUCCGAUCACAACAUUAGUCAAAUGAAGUUCUGUGAUGUCUGUACACAGAGAGAUCGAAGAACAUCAGUAGGCAAGAUUGGAUGGUCCGGAGACCCGAUAUUGACUCGAACUCAUCUGAUAGAGACCAAGAGAUCGGAAAAUAAUUUAACUUGAGCGUGAGAUCGAUUCGUUCCAGGGACGAGCAAUCGGUGAGUUCGGAAAAGCUACCUUGUGACCGGGACAUCGAUGGAGAACGGAUAAUAAAGUUUCGAUUUUAAAAGACCCUUGCCUUCGAAGGUCGGCCAAAAUAUGGUGUCUACAAUGCCCAUAAUAGUGGAGAAAUUGACAAAAGAUAGAUGAUGGGUAGCAGUAGAAUGGAAAUGUGACUCAAACCAGUACCUCUAAAGCUUGGUCAGUUUGAGAACUACAGUUGAAUUAGUUUUUUUUUGUAUUUAAUUUGGGGGGCUCAUUUCCAUGUGGUUGAACUUUGGUUUCCA
rnacentral:misc_RNA from 1 species